AUCAUCUUGAAAAGAAGAGAGAGACAGGAUGAAAAGAAAAGAAGGUUUUGGCUCUCCAACCUUUUGUGGGUAGGAGGCAGAUUCUAAGCAGAAGCCUUUUCUUAUGAAAAUGAGAAGAUAACUUAGUAGAUCCAAGAGUCCAACAGGCACAGCACAGAGCAAUGGAGAACUUUAAGAGGGCAGUACCUAGGAAUCCUCAACUGCACCUAUUCCUCAUAUGUUUAAUGUCAUCCUGGAAUCAAGAAUGAGCCUGGUACCAUGAUGGGAUGAAACAUCUGAAGAACGGUCGGGGUUGGAAGUGUCCUGUGAAGAGGUGACUCUACUUUGCAAAUUGGAGGAACAGAAAUCAUUUAUGCUCCAACCUUAGUGGAGCAGAAUCUUAUAAUAGUGAGACUGAGAAGAGAGAAGAGAAGCAUAUGGUUGGCAAAGGAAAAGGAACCCCUAAUUUCCACUGCAGGUGGUUACCCUGCCAAGACAGGAGGAUAAAUGAUGAUUGUGUCAGACUAAGCAGUUUAAAUACUGCAAAAAGAUGGUUUUUGCGACCAAGAAUGAAGGAAUGCUAUCCUCUAAGAAUGACUACAAAAAAAAUUUGGAGUCUGUCCUACAUUUUCUCCAGGAGCCAGAAAUGAACUUGCCUCAAAGGCUAAAACACAGAU